rnacentral:tRNA from 3 species
AGGGGCAUAGCUCAAUUGGCAGAGCGUCGGUCUCCAAAACCGAAGGUCGGGGGUUCGAGACCCUCUGCCCCUGCCA